GUGCCUGCUCUGGACCCUCUGGUGACUGCAUCCAGCUUUCCUCUGGGAACCACCAUGCUGUGACUCGAAGUCCCCAAAGACCUUCUCAAAUUGCCCCCAUGCCUCAGCUUCCAGAGGGCACAGGUGACCCAGGCCCAGCCAGCCCACUGAUCACAGUGAUGGGUUUUGGCAGGUGCAUGGUCCAGGCUAGGUCGACCAACAUCAGCCUCGGACUCUGCUUCAAGUAACAGGAAGGAGACUCUUCCUUUUCUCCGAGGUGGCUACGCUGGCCAACCUGAGCCUUGGGCCCUGGGGGACAUCUUUCCACCAUGUGUGGAGAGCCUGCCCGCAAACCAAACGGAAAGAAAGACGGCUACAGAGCAGAGAGAAAGAAAGGGGUGUGCCUCUGACAUCACAGUUCAGGCCUGCGGACCCAGCCAGACCCGAGGCCGGGACCUCUCCGGGACUGGUUUCAGGGCCCAGUAAACCAAAUCCUCUGCUGAACUGCUUACAAACCAAGUGGUCCUCUGUGCUUCGCCCCAGCACUCAGAUGCCCCACCCCCACCCCUCCAGGGGCUUUCCGAGAGACCCGGAUAUUGGGGUUGGCCCACAAUUGCACCGCGCCUGUGUCUGUACCCCCCCCCCCCCCCCGCCCCCCGCACCUAGGGAGGAAGCCGACGUCAGGCCUCUCGUUCUGGGGCCACAGGAAGGGCCCGGUUGGAGAAGCUCUGCACGCUCCGUCCAGCCUCGGGCUGAUACGGAGAGAGAUGGCGUCGCCACCAAAGCUCCCGAGUAGAGUCCCGGCGUCCUGGCGUGGCUGGGCCCUGUGUGUCUGGCUGCUGCGCUCUGUCUCAGAGAUGGACCCAGCCCAGAAUGCUGCGCUCCUGACCGUGGGCAAUGCCAGCCCUGCUGAUGAGGGCACCUACUACUGUGCCAUAUGGUUUUCAGGCCAGUAUGUCUUUGGAGAAGGUACCCGACUGCUCUAUCAGGCUAAGAGGCAACCCCUGGCUCUGCAGCCACCUGAGCUGAGCCUGUUCAUCCCAGCCUACGGCCCUCCCUUCCAUGUACUUUGUGUGGCCCUAGGACAUAACCCUGACCCUCUGAGGGUGUCCUGGGUCCUGGAAGGCCAAUACCUGGAGGAAGAGGACUCCACUGGGGGAGCUGGGGAUCCCAUGGUCAGCUGGCUGCAGCUGCCUCAGGAGGUGGCAGGAAUGUCUGUGACUUGCCGAGGCUUGCACCAGAGUGGAGUCUUAGAAGUCGUGCUGCCCCUGCCCUGGGGCCGAGGGCACAGGAGAACGCUGGAAGUGGAGAAUGCGAACAAGAGUGGACACAUUCUUCUAGUGGAGCUGGAGCAGAUCCUCAUUGCCACCACCUACUGCUACCUGGGACUGCUGGGCGCAUCUCUCAUCUACGGCCUCAUCCUGGCUGCUCUCUGGAGGAAUCGCUGUUGUUGGGCCCACCCUACGGAGCCACUCCCCAGAGGGGGUCAAGGAGCGGCCCCCGGUUCCAGGGCGCAGGUGGGCAGGAGGUGCACUCCUGCCGCGGCCCCGGAGCACAAGUGGCCGAGCCCCAGGGGCUUCCAUGUCCUCCGAGGGGCUGCCCAUGCCCCGGACCCUCCCUCCUUGCUCCGGCCGGCUUCCUCCUAGUCUGCUGCCUUUCGUUACCCAUUGGGUCCCCCUUUCUCUCUCAGGCUGUCCAAAUUUCUCCAUAAAUACAGGGAAUUUGAGAAGUUACUGCUGUGCUGUGGGUUGUUCUGGGCAAGGGAGGUGGGAUCCUGGGACCAAGGCCAAUACCUUCCAGGGGAGGGACGUCCAGGGUAUGGUCUGGCUCUGAGGACAGGUCAGCCACUGCAGGCUGGAGCCUGAAAGUCAUACAGGUCCCAAGGCCACUCUGGCCGGUCAGAGGGAAACGCAUGUGGCAGGGGCAGACCGUCAUGUUUUGCUGCUCACUAGCUGAGAAAGCCGGGUCACACCCACCCUCUCUCACUUCUUCAUCUAGCAGAGGGUUGGGUAUCUAAAGUUCUCCCCCUUUUUGGCUAAAAUCCUUUCAUUCCUCAGCCCCUUUUGAGAACAAAUGCCAAAUGCCUCUGAGGAUUUAAGUUGGCCAAGGGUUUUUAAUCAGAAAGAUCACACAGAAUUUGAGGGUAGGGUGAUUCCUUCAGAGACUGCUAAGGCAGCACGGUCCCCACUACUGCUGUGGCAUCCCGUCAAGGGGCCGAUGCUGCGAGCUCGGGAACCCACUUCUCCCUUGUGGGAAUACCAGUGACUUCAUUUCCCACACUUGCACCACAGCAGGCAGCCUCUCUAAGACUCUCAGGAGCAUCUGGCCCCAGACUCCUCCCAUCCAGGGUGAUGGCUGCCCAGAGUUCCCUACAGAGUGUUUCCAGUUGUUCUCUCUUCCUCUUUUGUUCUUCUAUGCUUCGCCUUCUCCUGGCCUCCACGCUACACGCAGGCCCACCAUCUCCCAUGUGACAGCUGCAAAAAGUGGAUCUGAGUUCUGAGAAGAAACCCUGGGCCCAGGGUCCUCUGGUCCUUUCUCACCGGGCAUCCUAGCACUCAGAUCCUGGUACAGAUGUUUCUACUUCGAGAAAUCCUUGUGUCCAUGCAAACUCCUUAAGUGAGGAUUUUGUAACACCCACAUGCAAAU
ensembl:lncRNA